GAGCGGUAGAGAGAAGCUUGCUUCUCUUGAGAGCGGCGGACGGGUGAGUAAUGCCUAGGAAUCUGCCUGGUAGUGGGGGAUAACGUUCGGAAACGGACGCUAAUACCGCAUACGUCCUACGGGAGAAAGCAGGGGACCUUCGGGCCUUGCGCUAUCAGAUGAGCCUAGGUCGGAUUAGCUAGUUGGUGAGGUAAUGGCUCACCAAGGCGACGAUCCGUAACUGGUCUGAGAGGAUGAUCAGUCACACUGGAACUGAGACACGGUCCAGACUCCUACGGGAGGCAGCAGUGGGGAAUAUUGGACAAUGGGCGAAAGCUUGAUCCAGCCAUGCCGCGUGUGUGAAGAAGGUCUUCGGAUUGUAAAGCACUUUAAGUUGGGAGGAAGGGCAGUUACCUAAUACGUGAUUGUUUUGA
rnacentral:rRNA from 1 species